GACGAACGCUGGCGGCGUGCUUAACACAUGCAAGUCGAACGGAAAGGCCCUGCUUUUGUGGGGUGCUCGAGUGGCGAACGGGUGAGUAACACGUGAGUAACCUGCCCUUGACUUUGGGAUAACUUCAGGAAACUGGGGCUAAUACCGGAUAGGAGCUCCUGCUGCAUGGUGGGGGUUGGAAAGUUUCGGCGGUUGGGGAUGGACUCGCGGCUUAUCAGCUUGUUGGUGGGGUAGUGGCUUACCAAGGCGUUGACGGGUAGCCGGCCUGAGAGGGUGACCGGCCACAUUGGGACUGAGAUACGGCCCAGAAUCCUACGGGAGGCAGCAGUGGGGAAUAUUGCACAAUGGGCGGAAGCCUGAUGCAGCAACGCCGCGUGCGGGAUGACGGCCUUCGGGUUGUAAACCGCUUUCGCCUGUGACGAAGCGUGAGUGACGGUAAUGGGUAAAGAAGCACCGGCUAACUACGUG
rnacentral:rRNA from 1 species